UACGUAGGCAGCAAGCGUUGUUCGGAGUUACUGGGCGUAAAGGGUGUGUAGGCGGUUGUUUAAGUUUGGUGUGAAAUCUCCCGCUCAACUGGGAGGGUGCGCCGAAUACUGAAUGACUAGAGUGCGGGAGAGGAAAGUGGAAUUCCUGGUGUAGCGGUGAAAUGCGUAGAUAUCAGGAGGAACACCGGUGGUGUAGACGGCUUUCUGGACCGUAACUGACGCUGAGACACGAAAGCGUGGGUAGCAAACAGG
rnacentral:rRNA from 1 species